AUUAGAGUUUGAUCCUGGCUCAGAACGAACGCUGGCGGCAGGCCUAACACAUGCAAGUCGAGCGCCCCGCAAGGGGAGCGGCGGACGGGUGAGUAACGCGUGGGAACGUACCCUUUGCUACGGAAUAGCCUCGGGAAACUGGGAGUAAUACCGUAUGUGCCCUUCGGGGGAAAGAUUUAUCGGUUCUGGAUGAGCCCGCGUUGGAUUAGCUAGUUGGUGAGGUAAAGGCUCACCAAGGCGACGAUCCAUAGCUGGUCUGAGAGGAUGAUCAGCCACACUGGGACUGAGACACGGCCCAGACUCCUACGGGAGGCAGCAAUGGGGAAUAUUGGACAAUGGGCGAAAGCCUGAUCCAGCCAUGCCGCGUGAGUGAUGAAGGCCUUAGGGUUGUAAAGCUCUUUCAGUAGGGAAGAUAAUGACGGUACCUACAGAAGAAGCCCCGGCUAACUUCGUGCCAGCAGCCGCGGUAAUAAU
rnacentral:rRNA from 1 species